rnacentral:tRNA from 2 species
GCGGGCAUCGUAUAAUGGCAAUACGUUAGCUUACCCAGUUAAAGACGCUCGGUUCGAAUCCAGGCUGCCUGCUCCA